rnacentral:sRNA from 1 species
UCCGUAGGUAAACCUGCGGAAGGAUCAUUACCUAGAGUUGUAGGCUUUGCCUACCAUCUCUUACCCAUGUCUUUUGAGUACCUACGUUUCCUCGGUGGGUUCGCCCGCCGAUUGGACAAUUUAAACCAUUUGCAGUUGCAAUCAGCGUCUGAAAAACAUAAUAGUUACAACUUUCAACAACGGAUCUCUUGGUUCUGGCAUCGAUGAAGAACGCAGCGAAAUGCGAUAAGUAGUGUGAAUUGCAGAAUUCAGUGAAUCAUCGAAUCUUUGAACGCACAUUGCGCCCCUUGGUAUUCCAUGGGGCAUGCCUGUUCGAGCGUCAUUUGUACCUUCAAGCUUUGCUUGGUGUUGGGUGUUUGUCUCGCCUUUGCGUGUAGACUCGCCUUAAAACAAUUGGCAGCCGGCGUAUUGAUUUCGGAGCGCAGUACAUCUCGCGCUUUGCACUCAUAACGACGACGUCCAAAAGUACAUUUUUACACUCUUGACCUCGGAUCAGGUAGGGAUACCCGCUGAACUUAAGCAUAUCAAUAAGCGGAGGA